rnacentral:rRNA from 1 species
UACGUAGGGUCCGAGCGUUGUCCGGAAUUACUGGGCGUAAAGAGCUCGUAGGUGGUUUGUCGCGUUGUUCGUGAAAACUCACAGCUUAACUGUGGGCGUGCGGGCGAUACGGGCAGACUUGAGUACUGCAGGGGAGACUGGAAUUCCCGGUGUAGCGGUGAAAUGCGCAGAUAUCGGGAGGAACACCAGUGGCGAAGGCGGCCAGCCUCUGGGCCGGAACUGAC